rnacentral:rRNA from 1 species
UCCGGGCUUUGUUUGCGCAGGAUAGGUGGGAGGCGUUGAAAAUUUUCUUGCGGGAAGAUUGGAGCCGUCGGUGAGAUACCACUCUAACAAUGCUAGGAUUCUAACCCUACACCGUUAUCCGGUUAGGGGACAGUUUCAGGUGGUCAGUUUGACUGGGGCGGUCGCCUCCCAAAAGGUAACGGAGGCGUGCAAAGGUUUCCUCAGGCUGGUCGGAAAUCAGUCGUAGAGUGUAAAGGCAUAAGGAAGCUUGAUUGUGAGACCUACAAGUCGAACAAAGACGAAAGUCGGCCUUAGUGAUCCGACGGUCCCGAGUGGAAGGGCCGUCGCUCAACGGAUAAAAGCUACUCUAGGGAUAACA